GUUCUACGCCUUUGUCUUCUUCAUCAUAGGAAAUCACGAUUCGGGGACUUUUAUUAUUAUUAUUAUUGUUGUGGGUGUUCAAAUGAGAGUAUAAUAGAAUAGAAAGGAAAGGAAAUUUCAGGACUAAAGUACAACAAUUCUGACUCUUUUUGAACAAAUUUGGUGGCCCUGAAAAGAGCCGUUUAUUGAUCUGUUUGUGAUCUGGUAAAAUUCUGCUUGCAACAAGCAACACGACGGGUGCCAUUGUGGAGCAGGAUAUGCUUACCAUUCCGGAGCACCUGAGAUCACCCCUAGUUUUUGGUGUUGCUUUCUUAAAACCCAAGUCUCUUACGGACGUCAUCAUAAUCUUGAGACCACAACAAAGUCUGGAACUAUGUAAUGCUCUUCCCGUGGGAUGUGGCCCUUGAAGAUCUUAUUAGGGAUGCUGCCUGUAGCUUGUCCUUUCAUCAAAAUGCACACUGGCACGACUUUGUACAUAUGGUCAAUGUAGGUGACACAUGGUAGUUUGGUCAUGUAAGUGCUUCAGAAGAGACGGAGGUUGUUACAUAUAGUU
rnacentral:lncRNA from 1 species